rnacentral:rRNA from 1 species
GACGAACGCUGGCGGCGUGCCUAAUACAUGCAAGUAGGACGCAGUUGCGAACGGGUGAGUAACGCGUAGGUAACUACCUAUUAGAGGGGGAUAACUAUUGGAAACGAUAGCUAAUACCGCAUAAUAGUAGAUGGACCUGCGUUGUAUUGGCUAGUAGGAAGGGGAAUGGCCUACAUAGGCAACGAUACAUAGCCGACCUGCGUGGGGGAUCUGCCACACUGGGACGUGACAACGCCCCGUACUCGCACGGGAGGCAGCAGUAGGGAAUCUUCGGCAAUGGACGAAAGUCUGACCGAGCAACUCCGCGUUAGUGAAGAAGGUUUUCGGAUCUGAAAACUCUGUUGUUAGAGAAGCGGUAUCUAACCAGAAAGCCACGGCUAACUACGUGCCAGCCGCCGCGGUAAUAC